GACGAACGCUGGCGGCGUGCUUAACACAUGCAAGUCGAACGGAAAGGCCCUGCUUUUGUGGGGUGCUCGAGUGGCGAACGGGUGAGUAACACGUGAGUAACCUGCCCUUGACUUUGGGAUAACUUCAGGAAACUGGGGCUAAUACCGGAUAGGAGCUCCUGCUGCAUGGUGGGGGUUGGAAAGUUUCGGCGGUUGGGGAUGGACUCGCGGCUUAUCGGCUUGUUGGUGGGGUAGUGGCUUACCAAGGCUUUGACGGGUAGCCGGCCUGAGAGGGUGACCGGCCACAUUGGGACUGAGAUACGGCCCAGACUCCUACGGGAGGCAGCAGUGGGGAAUAUUGCACAAUGGGCGGAAGCCUGAUGCAGCAACGCCGCGUGCGGGAUGACGGCCUUCGGGUUGUAAACCGCUUUCGCCUGUGACGAAGCGUGAGUGACGGUAAUGGGUAAAGAAGCACCGGCUAACUACGUGC
rnacentral:rRNA from 1 species